rnacentral:rRNA from 1 species
AGGGCAUCGGUGCGUAACAGGGUUUGAUCCUGGCUCAGAUUGAACGCUGGCGGGAUGCUUUACACGCUGUGAUCGUUGGCAGCACGGACUUCGGUCUGGUGGCAGAGCUAACUGAACAGGUGAUAGUAUCGGGCCGUACCUAGUAGCGGGGAUUAACUGCGCUGGCCCGUAGCUAAUACCGCAUACGCCCUUCGGGGAAAGCGGGGGACUGGCCAGACCUCCGCGCUAUUGAAACGGCCGAUAUCGGAUUGCAGCCAGUUUGGCCGGUGGCUCGCCAGGGCACGGACGAUCGUAGCUGGUUUGAGAGGACGACCAGCCACACCAGGACGGGCCACGGCCCAGACUCUGGAGGCAGCGGUGGAAAUUUUGGACAAUGGGAAACCUGAUCCAGCCGCUCCCGCGUGUGCGAUGAAGGCCUUCGGGUUGUAAAGCACUUUGGCAGAAGAAACGGCCUGGACAAUACCCGUACAGCUGACGUACCUGCAGAAUAAGCGCACCGGCUAACUACGUGCCAGCAGCCGCGGUAAUACGUAGAUUGACGUUAAUCGGAAUUACUGGGCGUAAAGCGUGCGCAGGCGGUUCGGAAGAAGAUGUGAAAUCCAGGAAGCCUUUUACGGAACCAUUUUCAACUACCGAGCUAGAGUGUGUCAGAGGGAGAGUGGAAUUCCCGCUGUUAUAACAGUGAAAUGCGUAGAUAUGCGGAGGAACACCGAUGGCGAGGCAGCCUCCUGGGAUAGCACUGACAGCUCAUGCGCAAAGCGUGGGGAGGCAACAGGAUUAGAUGCCUGGUAGUCCACGCCCUAAACGAUGUCAACUAGCUGUUGGGGCCUUCGGGCCUUGGUAGCGCAGCUAACGCGUGAAGUUGACCGCCUGGGGAAGUACGGUCGCAAGAUUAAAACUCAAAGGAAUUGACGAGGACCCGCACAAGCGGUGGAUGAUGUGGAUUAAUUCGAUGCAACGCGAAAAACCUUACUACCCUUGACAUGUCUGGAAUCCCGAAGAGGAUUUGGAGUGCUCGCAAGAGAGCGGGCUGGGUGCUGCGCUGGCUGUCGUCAGCUCAGUGUGGUAGAUGUUGGUUAAGAAUCCCAUAACGAGCGCAAUACUUAUGUUAGUUGCUACGAAAGGGCACUCUAAUGGAACUGCCGGUGACAAACCGGAGGAAGGUGGGGAUGACGUCAAGUCCUCAUGGCCCUUAUGGGUAGGGCUUCGUCAUACAAUGGUCGGGACAGAGGGUCGCCAACCCGCGAGGGAAUUGUCCGAAACCCGAUCGUAGUCGGAUCACCGUCUGCAACUCGGCUGCGUGAAGUGGAAUCGCUAGUAAUCGAGAUCGGCGUAUAUCAGCGGUGAAUACGUUCCCGGGUCUUGUACACCGCCCGUCACACCAUGGGAGUGGGUUUUACCAGAAGUAGUUAGCCUACUAACCGUAAGGAGGGCGAUUACCACGGUAGGAUUCGCGAAGCUGGGGUGAAGUCUUGGCUAAAAUUA